AACGAACGCUGGCGGCAGGCCUAACACAUGCAGGUCGAACGGGUGUAGCAAUACAUCAGUGGCGCACGGGUGAGUAACACGUGGGAACGUGCCCUUCACUACGGGACAACGUCGGGAAACUGACGCUAAUACCGUAUAAUGUCUCCGGACCAAAGAUUUAUCGGUGAAGGAUCGGCCCGCGUCUGAUUAGCCAGUUGGUGAGGUAAUGGCUCACCAAGGCGACGAUCAGUAGCUGGUUUGAGAGAAUGAUCAGCCACACUUGGACCGAGACACGGCCCAGACUCCUACGGGAGGCAGCAGUGAGGAAUCUUGGACAAUGGGCGCAAGCCUGUUCCAGCCAUGCCGCGUGAGUGAUGAAGGCCUUAGGGUUUUAAAGCUCUUUUGCCGGGGAUGAUAAUGACCGUACCCGGAGAAUAAGCCACGGCUAAAUUCGUGCCAGCAGCCGCGGUAA
rnacentral:rRNA from 1 species